CACACCGCCCGUCACACCAUGGAAGCCAGCUGUACCGGAAGUCGGUGUAUCAACCCGAAAGGGAGAAAGUCGCCCAUGGUAUGGCUGGUGACUGGGGUG
rnacentral:rRNA from 1 species